GACGAACGCUGGCGGCGUGCUUAACACAUGCAAGUCGAACGAAAAGAGGGAAAGAGCUUGCUCUUUCCGGAAUUGAGUGGCAAACGGGUGAUUAACACGUAAACAACCUGCCUUCAGGAUGGGGACAACAGACGGAAACGACUGCUAAUACCGAAUAAGUUCCAAGGGCCGCAUGGCCCAUGGAAGAAAAGGUGGCCUCUACCUGUAAGCUAUCGCCUGAAGAGGGGUUUGCGUCUGAUUAGCUGGUUGGAGGGGUAACGGCCCACCAAGGCGACGAUCAGUAGCCGGUCUGAGAGGAUGAACGGCCACACUGGAACUGAGACACGGUCCAGACUCCUACGGGAGGCAGCAGUGGGGAAUCUUCCGCAAUGGGCGAAAGCCUGACGGAGCAACGCCGCGUGAGUGAUGACGGCCUUCGGGUUGUAAAACUCUGUGAUCCGGGACGAAAAGGCAGAGUGCGAAGAACAAACUGCAUUGACGGUACCGGAAAAGCAAGCCACGGCUAACUACGUG
rnacentral:rRNA from 1 species